rnacentral:lncRNA from 1 species
UGUGAUAGCCCAAUUUUACCCGGACCCGAAUUACAGGCAAAUAAAAUGCCCAAACAGAAAUCAUAAAUAAAAAAAUAUAACCAAAAAUAAAAGGGUCCAAUCCAUUUACAAAAAAAAAAUCCUGCCCAAAUGGAGCAUCUUCGCCUCCGUUGACUCUGCCACAUGCAAGCAAAGCUGAAAAGGGCUUUUGAAUAUUUUGGUCUCAGAUCUGGGUUGAGGGAGGGAAAAGGGUCAAAAUGGUUCUUUUUAGUGAGCUCCGGCCACCUUGGACGGCAACUGCUGCCGUCAACUGCUGGUGACC